GUGGGAAUGAUGUGCCAGAUCUAAACACAGUGCAGGAUCUGGGAGCCUCGACCCAUCUCACUAUGCAGAGCUUUUAGCUUUGGAAAUGGUGACCUGAUUUGAUACUGCUGCUGUUUCGAAAUGUUUACCACACUGCAGAAAAAAAGGAGCAGGCUACGCAAAAGCAGUCAGCUGAAUUGAAUUCAGAGGAGAGAAAUCCAAGAGGAGGGGAUAAUUUGGAGAAGUAGAUGCAGAAGACAAGAUGAGCGCUGGCAGGAGCUGAGAGAACUGGAACUACAGGGAAACUGGGGGAAAUCAGAGCACAGAGAAGAGACUGAGACAAGACCAAGUGCAGAGUCUGGCAAGACAACUGGGAAGCCAUGCACAAGGAAAGGAUGUGAGGGAUCUCAUUUCAGCCCCUCUCUGCAUAUUAUUCUGAGCUCACUUUGCAAUAUUUGAGCUGUUCUCAUUCAGACUGCCUUCCUAUACUUUAUUUAAUGUAUAUUAAAUAAAUCUGGUUAUGAAAACAGAAUUAUAUACAUUUCCUCCUGAUACCAUCAUGGCAAAUGUAAUAAAAAAGCUCCAAAAAUUCACAUACACAAAAAAGAGUGCUUAUUGAACACCCCUGAAAUGCAAGGAAAGGCAUUAUCAUCAUAUUACAAACAGAAAGCCAAAGUCUAGAAGCAUUGGCUUAUUAGGAUACUCAAUCCAAGAAGUACAUUUGCUUUAUCAGACCACCAUAUACUGGUUUAUGGAUGUACUUU